CCCUUAGAUGUUCGGGGCCGCACGCGCGCUACACUGAAGGACUCAGCGUGUCUCUCCCCCUAUCCCGAAAGGGAUGGGCAACCCGUUGAACCUCCUUCGUGCUAGGGAUUGGGGUUUGCAAUUAUCCCCCAUGAACGAGGAAUUCCCAGUAAGCGCGAGUCAUCAGCUCGCGUUGAUUACGUCCCUGCCCUUUGUACACACCGCCCGUCGCUACUACCGAUUGAAUGGUUCAGUGAGAUAAUCGGACAGAAAACUUGGCAACUGGCAACAGUUGACGUGCAUUUUUGGAAGACGAUCAAACUUGGUCAUUUAGAGGAAGUAAAAGUCGUAACA
rnacentral:rRNA from 1 species